rnacentral:rRNA from 1 species
UACGUAGGCAGCAAGCGUUGUUCGGAAUUACUGGGCGUAAAGAGUGUGUAGGCGGCGCGCUAAGUUCGGUGUGAAAUCUCCCGGCUCAACUGGGAGGGUGCGCCGAAAACUGGCGGGCUAGAGCGUGGGAGAGGAAAGCGGAAUUCCUGGUGUAGCGGUGAAAUGCGUAGAUAUCAGGAGGAACACCUGUGGUGUAGACAGCUUUCUGGACCAUAGCUGACGCUGAGACACGAAAGCGUGGGUAGCAAACAGG